GGGGGAACACGCCCGUGUGAUAUUUCAACAUGGUCAUGCUAUUGGCCCGUGUGGCUUAGACGACCUAAGAAAUACUGGGACACGGCCCAGUCCUAUACCCAUCUAGAAUUAAUUCUAAAGGUACACCUACAGGGGUUUUCACACAGCCUGGAAUACGCCUGUGUCUCUGGCCCGUGCCUUCACACAGCCAUGACACGUCCGUGUCCUAGCUCGUGUGUAAAAAUUUGGACAUUCUAUUUCUGACGUCAGCAAUCCUUAAGGGCC
rnacentral:lncRNA from 1 species